rnacentral:rRNA from 1 species
UACGUAGGGGGCAAGCGUUGUCCGGAUUUAUUGGGCGUAAAGAGCGUGUAGGCGGCUUUACAGGUCCGUUGUGAAAACUCGAGGCUCAACCUCGAGACGCCGGUGGAAACCGUAAAGCUAGAGUCCGGAAGAGGAGAGUGGAAUUCCUGGUGUAGCGGUGAAAUGCGCAGAUAUCAGGAAGAACACCCGUGGCGAAGGCGGCUCCUCUGGGACGGUACUGACGGCUGAGACGCGAAAGCGUGGGGAGCGAACAGG